rnacentral:rRNA from 1 species
CCUACGGGUGGCAGCAGUGGGGAAUAUUGGACAAUGGGGGCAACCCUGAUCCAGCCAUGCCGCGUGUGUGAAGAAGGCCCUCGGGUUGUAAAGCACUUUCAGUGAGGAAGAACGCCUGGUGGUUAAUACCCAUCAGGAAAGACAUCACUCACAGAAGAAGCACCGGCUAACUCCGUGCCAGCAGCCGCGGUAAUACGGAGGGUGCGAGCGUUAAUCGGAAUUACUGGGCGUAAAGCGCGCGUAGGUGGCUUGAUAAGCCGGUUGUGAAAGCCCCGGGCUCAACCUGGGAACGGCAUCCAGAACUGUCAAGCUAGAGUGCAGGAGAGGAAGGUAGAAUUCCCGGUGUAGCGGUGAAAUGCGUAGAGAUCGGGAGGAAUACCAGUGGCGAAGGCGGCCUUCUGGACUGACACUGACACUGAGGUGCGAAAGCGUGGGUAGCAAACAGGAUUAGAUACCCGAGUAGUC